CGCGGUAAUACGUAGGUGGCAAGCGUGUCCGGAUUUACUGGGCGUAAAGGAUGUGUAGGCGGAUACUUAAGUGAGAUGUGAAAGCCCCGGGCUUAACCUGGGGACUGCAUUUCAAACUGGGUAUCUAGAGUGCAGGAGAGGAAAGCGGAAUUCCUAGUGUAGCGGUGAAAUGCGUAGAGAUUAGGAAGAACAUCAGUGGCGAAGGCGGCUUUCUGGACUGUAACUGACGCUGAGGCAUGAAAGCGUGGGGAGCAAACAGGAUUAGACACCCUGGUAGUCCACGCCGUAAACGAUGAGUACUAGGUGUAGGAGGUAUCGACUCCUUCUGUGCCGCAGUUAACACAAUAAGUACUCCGCCUGGGAAGUACGGUCGCAAGAUUAAAACUCAAAGGAAUUGACGGGGGCCCGCACAAGCAGCGGAGCAUGUGGUUUAAUUCGAAGCAACGCGAAGAACCUUACCUAGACUUGACAUCUCCUGAAUAGCGUAGAGAUACGUGAAGCCCUUCGGGGCAGGAAGACAGGUGGUGCAUGGUUGUCGUCAGCUCGUGUCGUGAGAUGUUGGGUUAAGUCCCGCAACGAGCGCAACCCUUAUCAUUAGUUGCUACCAUUAAGUUGAGCACUCUAGUGAGACUGCCCGGGUUAACCGGGAGGAAGGCGGGGAUGACGUCAAAUCAUCAUGCCCCUUAUGUCUAGGGCUACACACGUGCUACAAUGGUGAGAACAACGAGAUGCAAUACCGCGAGGUGGAGCCAAACUUGAAAACUCAUCCCAGUUCGGAUUGCAGGCUGAAAUUCGCCUGCAUGAAGUUGGAGUUGCUAGUAAUCGCGAAUCAGAAUGUCGCGGUGAAUACGUUCCCGGGCCUUGUACACACCGCCCGUCACACCAUGAGAGCUGGUAACACCCGAAGU
rnacentral:rRNA from 1 species